rnacentral:rRNA from 1 species
UGGGGAAUUUUGGACAAUGGGCGAAAGCCUGAUCCAGCAAUGCCGCGUGUGUGAAGAAGGCCUUCGGGUUGUAAAGCACUUUUGUCCGGAAAGAAAUCCUUGGCUCUAAUACAGUCGGGGGAUGACGGUACCGGAAGAAUAAGCACCGGCUAACUACGUGCCAGCAGCCGCGGUAAUACGUAGGGUGCAAGCGUUAAUCGGAAUUACUGGGCGUAAAGCGUGCGCAGGCGGUUUGCUAAGACCGAUGUGAAAUCCCCGGGCUCAACCUGGGAACUGCAUUGGUGACUGGCAGGCUAGAGUAUGGCAGAGGGGGGUAGAAUUCCACGUGUAGCAGUGAAAUGCGUAGAGAUGUGGAGGAAUACCGAUGGCGAAAGGCAGCCCCCUGGGCCAAUACUGACGCUCAUGCACGAAAGCGUGGGGAGCAAACAGGAUUAGAUACCCUGGUAGUCCACGCCCUAAACGAUGUCAACUAGUUGUUGGGGAUUCAUUUCCUUAGUAACGUAGCUAACGCGUGAAGUUGACCGCCUGGGGAGUACGGUCGCAAGAUUAAAAACUCAAAUGAAUUGACGGGGUCAUAGCUGUUUCCU